UGGGGAAUAUUGGACAAUGGGCGCAAGCCUGAUCCAGCCAUGCCGCGUGGGUGAAGAAGGCCUUCGGGUUGUAAAGCCCUUUUGUUGGGAAAGAAAAGCAUUUGGUUAAUAACCAGAUGUUCUGACGGUACCCAAAGAAUAAGCACCGGCUAACUUCGUGCCAGCAGCCGCGGUAAUACGAAGGGUGCAAGCGUUACUCGGAAUUACUGGGCGUAAAGCGUGCGUAGGUGGUUAUUUAAGUCUGUUGUGAAAGCCCUGGGCUCAACCUGGGAAUUGCAGUGGAAACUGGAUAGCUAGAGUGUGGUAGAGGAUAGCGGAAUUCCUGGUGUAGCAGUGAAAUGCGUAGAGAUCAGGAGGAACAUCUGUGGCGAAGGCGGCUAUCUGGACCAACACUGACACUGAGGCACGAAAGCGUGGGGAGCAAACAGGAUUAGAUACCCCGGUAGUCC
rnacentral:rRNA from 1 species